UACGGGGGGGGCAAGCGUUGUUCGGAAUUACUGGGCGUAAAGGGCUCGUAGGUGGCCAACUAAGUCAGACGUGAAAUCCCCAGGCUUAACCUGGGAACUGCGUCUGAUACUGGAUGGCUUGAAUUCGGGAGAGGGAUGCAGAAUUCCAGGUGUAGCGGUGAAAUGCGUAGAUAUCUGGAGGAAUACCGGUGGCGAAGGCGGCAUCCUGGACCGAGAUUGACACUGAGGAGCGAAAGCUAGGGGAGCAAACGGG
rnacentral:rRNA from 1 species